rnacentral:lncRNA from 1 species
UUAAAAGGAGAUAGAAAAACUCUAAUGUUUGUUUGAUCUUCUCACACUUGUUCUUGCCUCCAAAAGUAGUUUUAGAAAAACUUAGAACAAUCUUGGGCGAGUUUCUAAAGCUUAUAAGGGUUUACAAAAGUUUCCCCGAAAUUACACUUUGGUCCUCAAACUUCCAGCAGCGUGAACAGUGCACCGCGGUCGCGGUCGACCGCGGUGAGAGCUGACCUUUCUGCCUCACGAGUUUAAUCUAUCGCGGUGGACUUCUUGCCCAGGCCAUUUUCUGCUUCUUAGUGCUCGGGUACUUCUCGAGUGGGCGUUUUCUUCACAUUAUUGCCUCCAAAACACUCCAUGUUGCUUCCUCUCAUAUAAUAUUCCCUGCGAAACAAAAGAACACUAUUCAGAGCAUUUUUGUUGGCAAUUUUUCUAUAAAACAACCACGAAGUAUGGUCAUAUUAAGGUGUAAAUAUCAACUAUAUAGCCUACUAUCAAACAUCAAAUUAUCGAGUAGCAAAAACUUCUUACUUACUUGCGGUUUAUCCACCUC